GACGAACGCUGGCGGCGUGCUUAACACAUGCCCCCCCAACGGAAAGGCCCUGCUUUUGUGGGGUGCUCGAGUGGCGAACGGGUGAGUAACACGUGAGUAACCUGCCCUUGACUUUGGGAUAACUUCAGGAAACUGGGGCUAAUACCGGAUAGGAGCUCCUGCUGCAUGGUGGGGGUUGGAAAGUUUCGGCGGUUGGGGAUGGACUCGCGGCUUAUCAGCUUGUUGGUGGGGUAGUGGCUUACCAAGGCUUUGACGGGUAGCCGGCCUGAGAGGGUGACCGGCCACAUUGGGACUGAGAUACGGCCCAGACUCCUACGGGAGGCAGCAGUGGGGAAUAUUGCACAAUGGGCGGAAGCCUGAUGCAGCAACGCCGCGUGCGGGAUGACGGCCUUCGGGUUGUAAACCGCUUUCGCCUGUGACGAAGCGUGAGUGACGGUAAUGGGUAAAGAAGCACCGGCUAACUACGUG
rnacentral:rRNA from 1 species